rnacentral:rRNA from 1 species
UACGUAGGGUGCAAGCGUUAAUCGGAAUUACUGGGCGUAAAGCGUGCGCAGGCGGUUUUGUAAGUUUGUCGUGAAAUCCCCGGGCUCAACCUGGGAAUGGCGAUGAAGACUGCAAGGCUAGAAUCUGGCAGAGGGGGGUGGAAUUCCACGUGUAGCAGUGAAAUGCGUAGAGAUGUGGAGGAACACCGAUGGCGAAGGCAGCCCCCUGGGCUAACACUGACGCUCAUGCACGAAAGCGUGGGGAGCA